CGGACCAUCUUGGGAGCUUCCACUUGGAAGAAGGGAUUCAAAGACAGCGAGCCUCAGCACUUCAAACAACAACAUCCCACCACCAAACUCCACUCUUCAGAACCUCAUAACACUUUUCCAACGUCAAGGUCUUGAUGAAGUAGACCUCGUUGCUCUCUCAGGUCAACCCAUUGUCCCACGUUUUCAGUCAGACCAUAACAUAAUUAAAAACCGUCUUUGACCUUAUAAUGGCUUACUCAUUUUGAACAUGUACUAAUGUUUCAGGAGGACAUACCAUUGGUGUAGCCAGGUGUGCGACCUUCAAGCAGAGACUCUACAACCAAAACGGAAACAACCUGCCAGACCAAACACUAGAAAGAACCUACUACUAUGGCUUGAAAUCUGUGUGUCCCAAGUCUGGCGGUGACAACAACAUUUCACCUUUGGAUUUCGGGUCCCCUGUAAAAUUCGACAACCUUUAUUUCAAGCUUAUUUUGUGGGGAAAAGGACUGCUCAAUUCGGAUGAAGUGCUUUUGACAGGGAAUGUUGGAAAUACAAUGGAG
rnacentral:lncRNA from 1 species